AAGACGGAAGAAUUACAAGACGCAGACAGAGUAACACAAAGCAAGAGGUUGUUUAGUGUCACCUUUGGAUAGAGAUUCGCUCUUGGUGGUGGACCUGUACGGUGCAAACAAGCAGAGACAGCCGCCCACAGUCGCCCACUCACCCCACAUUCACCUUGAGGUGACAGCCCCACUGUCACAUCAUGACAGCUUGACUCUUUCUUCAGGCUCUUGGUGAAGGAAUAAAAGCAGCAAAUAAACAAAACAUCACAGGAAGGGAAGUGGCAGCAGAAGGAUGAUAUUAAUACUUUUUUCUUUCCCUGCGAGAAUCUCUGUCAGUCAAAUGGAGUUUGCAUCGUGUGCCGGCUUCUCACUUUGAUUUGCAAUUGACGUCCCUGCAGGUGGCACUCCUUUUUUCAUGUAAGCAUGGCAACUGUCAUAUCUAAUGACCACACAGAACAGGCAAAUAUAAUCUGAAACUGUUACUUUGUGGACAUGAAA